rnacentral:ncRNA from 1 species
AACUCGGCAAAAUGACCCCGUAAUUUCGGGAGAAGGGGUGGUCUCCUAUCUUUUGAUUAGGAAAGCGGCAUACACCAGGGGUUUAUUAAAAACACAGAACUCUGUUUAGUGGUAACAUAAUGUAUAGAGUCUGACACCUGUCCGGUGCUGGAAGGUCGGAAGGAGAAGUGUUAUAAGCUUUGAAUGGAAGCCCCGGUAAGCGGCGACAGUAACUCUAACUGUCCAAAUCACUAUUGUUAGUUUAAAUACAAUAUAUUUUUUGGCGUGAUAACUG